GUUACAACUACUUUUGGAAAAAUUACCCUGGAUAGAAAACUGAAAACUGGAUGAAAAGAAACCCCACAACAAGGGACAGUGCUGACUAAGGUGGAAGAGGUGGAAAUUCCUGCUGGAGAGAAAGAAAGCCACCUUUGGGAGCAGCGGAGUUUCUCAGUCAGCCAGGUGGGAGCCACCCUAAGUGUGCCUGGAAGUAAAGGAUUCCGAGACGGUCGAGGCACAAGUUGGGAGAGCCUGACCCCUGAGCCACUGCUGAGAGGACAUCCUUCUGGGAGAGUAGCUGACCUGCACUGGACCUUGUGAACAUGAGAAACAAAUUUUCACUUUGCAAUCAGUAUGGACUCUGUUGGAAUGUAAUGUGUCAAUUUGGUUUCAUGCCUCAUCACACUGGCAGAUAGAAGAGGGUAAUGGCUGCUUUGGGGAGUGGAGGAAGCCAAAAAGAAGGCAAAGAGUGAAGACAGAGAAACAAGAUGUCAGUGGUGGUGCUGAGAAGGAAUAGAGAGACUUUUCUUCGUGCUAAGGGCCGCAGAGGGAGGAAUCCAGCUGAGGACUACACAGAAGCAUCUGGCUCCAGGAAUAACAGAUCAAAUGGUGACGAACUCCUUCAAAAUGUGACAACUUGGACAAAAGUCUGCUUAAAUCUUUCUGGAUGCAAACGAAUUUUGCCCUUUUGUGUAGAAACUAGUCCUAGCACAGAGAGAAGGGAAUUCAAUUUGGAUCUCAAGACCCCAGAGGAAGCCCUGGAUUUACUCCUUACUGGCUGUGUGAUCUUAGGGCAGCCAGAUGAAGACAGCUGA
rnacentral:lncRNA from 1 species